rnacentral:rRNA from 1 species
GACGAACGCUGGCGGCGUGCUUAACACAUGCAAGUCGAACGGAAAGGCCCUGCUUUUGUGGGGUGCUCGAGUGGCGAACGGGUGAGUAACACGUGAGUAACCUGCCCUUGACUUUGGGAUAACUUCAGGAAACUGGGGCUAAUACCGGAUAGGAGCUCCUGCUGCAUGGUGGGGGUUGGAAAGUUUCGGCGGUUGGGGAUGGACUCGCGGCUUAUCAGCUUGUUGGUGGGGUAGUGGCUUACCAAGGCUUUGACGGGUAGCCGGCCUGAGAGGGUGACCGGCCACAUUGGGACUGAGAUACGGCCCAGACUCCUACGGGAGGCAGCAGUGGGGAAUAUUGCACAAUGGGCGGAAGCCUGAUGCAGCAACGCCGCGUGCGGGAUGACGGCCUUCGGGUUGUAAACCGCUUUCGCCUGUGACGAAGCGUGAGUGACGGUAAUGGGUAAAGAAGCACCGGCUAACUACGUGCCAGCAGCCGCGGUGAUACGUAGGGUGCGAGCGUUGUCCGGAUUUAUUGGGCGUAAAGGGCUCGUAGGUGGUUGAUCGCGUCGGAAGUGUAAUCUUGGGGCUUAACCCUGAGCGUGCUUUCGAUACGGGUUGACUUGAGGAUGGUAGGGGAGAAUGGAAUUCCUGGUGGAGCGGUGGAAUGCGCAGAUAUCAGGAGGAACACCAGUGGCGAAGGCGGUUCUCUGGGCCUUUCCUGACGCUGAGGAGCGAAAGCGUGGGGAGCGAACAGGCUUAGAUACCCUGGUAGUCCACGCUGUAAACGGUGGGUACUAGGUGUGGGGUCCAUUCCACGGGUUCCGUGCCGUAGCUAACGCUUUAAGUACCCCGCCUGGGGAGUACGGCCGCAAGGCUAAAACUCAAAGGAAUUGACGGGGCCCCGCACAAGCGGCGGAGCAUGCGGAUUAAUUCGAUGCAACGCGUAGAACCUUACCUGGGUUUGACAUGGAUCGGGAGUGCUCAGAGAUGGGUGUGCCUCUUUUGGGGUCGGUUCACAGGUGGUGCAUGGCUGUCGUCAGCUCGUGUCGUGAGAUGUUGGGUUAAGUCCCGCAACGAGCGCAACCCUUGUUCACUGUUGCCAGCACGUUAUGGUGGGGACUCAGUGGAGACCGCCGGGGUCAACUCGGAGGAAGGUGGGGAUGACGUCAAGUCAUCAUGCCCCUUAUGUCCAGGGCUUCACGCAUGCUACAAUGGCUGGUACAGAGAGUGGCGAGCCUGUGAGGGUGAGCGAAUCUCGGAAAGCCGGUCUCAGUUCGGAUUGGGGUCUGCAACCCGACCUCAUGAAGUCGGAGUCGCUAGUAAUCGCAGAUCAGCAACGCUGCGGUGAAUACGUUCCCGGG